GACGAACGCUGGCGGCGUGCUUAACACAUGCAAGUCGAACGAUGAAGCGGUGCUUGCACCGUGGAUUAGUGGCGAACGGGUGAGUAAUACGUGAGUGACCUACCUUUGACUCUGGGAUAAGCCUGGGAAACUGGGUCUAAUACCGGAUACGACCAAUCUCUGCAUGGGGUGUUGGUGGAAAGCGUUAUGGAGUGGUUUUAGAUGGGCUCACGGCCUAUCAGCUUGUUGGUGAGGUAAUGGCUUACCAAGGCGACGACGGGUAGCCGGCCUGAGAGGGUGACCGGCCACACUGGGACUGAGACACGGCCCAGACUCCUACGGGAGGCAGCAGUGGGGAAUAUUGCACAAUGGGCGCAAGCCUGAUGCAGCGACGCCGCGUGAGGGAUGACGGCCUUCGGGUGGUAAACCUCUGUUAGCAUCGAAGAAGCGAAAGUGACGGUAGGUGCAGAGAAAGCGCCGGCUAACUACUU
rnacentral:rRNA from 1 species